UAAUCCAGUAGUGGGAGUAAU
rnacentral:misc_RNA from 1 species